UUGAGCGAUCUACUACGGUAAAGAGCGGCGGACGGGUGAGUAACGCGUGGGUAACCUACCCUGUACACACGGAUAACAUACCGAAAGGUAUGCUAAUACGGGAUAAUAUAUUUGAGAGGCAUCUCUUGAAUAUCAAAGGUGAGCCAGUACAGGAUGGACCCGCGUCUGAUUAGCUAGUUGGUAAGGUAACGGCUUACCAAGGCGACGAUCAGUAGCCGACCUGAGAGGGUGAUCGGCCACAUUGGAACUGAGACACGGUCCAAACUCCUACGGGAGGCAGCAGUGGGGAAUAUUGCACAAUGGGCGAAAGCCUGAUGCAGCAACGCCGCGUGAGUGAUGAAGGCCUUCGGGUCGUAAAACUCUGUCCUCAAGGAAGAUAAUGACGGUACUUGAGGAGGAAGCCCCGGCUAA
rnacentral:rRNA from 1 species